GCUGGGUGUGGUGGCGCACACCUGUAGUCCCAGCUACUUGGGAGGCUGAGGUGGAAGAAUUGCUUGAAUCCAGGAGAUGGAGGCUGCAGUGAGCCAAGACUGUACCACUGCACUCCAGCCUGGGCGACAGAGUGAGACUCCAUCUCAA
ensembl:misc_RNA Metazoa_SRP Metazoan signal recognition particle RNA